rnacentral:sRNA from 1 species
AGUUUCAUCAUUCUGCUGGAAUUAAACACUGGCAUGUGUGUGUUUCUAAGGAAUAGUAACAUUAAAUAAUUUCAUUGUCUGGAUUUUUUUUGUACCAUAGCCUACUCAUGAAGGUUACUUCUCUUGUUUGGAUAUCUGGACGCUCUUUUUGGACUAUCUGACAAGUAAAAUUAAAAGUCGUCUUGGAGACAAGGAAGCAGUUCUCAACAGGUACGAAGACGCCCUGGUGCUCCUCCUCACAGAGGUGUUGAAUCGAAUCCAGUUCAGAUACAACCAAGCCCAGCUGGAGGAGUUGGAUGACGAGACUCUGGAUGACGAUCAGCAGACGGAGUGGCAGCGGUACUUACGGCAGAGCUUGGAGGUGGUGGCCAAAGUGAUGGAGCUCCUGCCCACGCACGCCUUCUCCACACUGUUCCCUGUUCUUCAGGACAAUUUAGAAGUUUAUUUGGGAUUACAACAGUUUAUAGUCACUUCAGGGUCAGGACACAGGUUGAACAUCACGGCGGAGAAUGACUGCCGGCGGCUGCACUGCUCCCUGAGAGACUUGAGCUCCCUGCUGCAG